rnacentral:lncRNA from 1 species
AUAGGAAACCAGUUCCAAGGGACUCAGCUAAGCCACUCAGAGAAAAAAAGACCUGAGCUUUAUUCGGAGAGGAAAAAAAAAAAAAAUGGGUCCCUGGACUGGAAGCUUCAGAAUCAUCUGGAAAUGUGCUAGAAAUGCAGGCUCCCAGGCCUCCCCUACCACUCCUUUACAAGUACACAAGAGAACAAGCUUGUGGCUGCAGGCACAGCACAGCUCAGGGUCACUGGAUAGAUGGUCCCUUUGGAUCACGUGCUCAUCCCUGGCCCAGUCAGCUGUGAUCAGAGGAGCAAGACCGUGAGAUAAGGCUUGAAACCUAAGGAAUUUCAAAGAGGGGGCCAUGAUGGGCAUUCAGCGGCAUCUCAGGAGGGGGCAGAGUAACCAGCAGGUGCUUUGCAUGCUGGUCUGGUGUGUCUGGAAAAGGCAUCCCGCUAAAACGUUUGUCAGGAAACUUCUCAUCAGCAUUUCCAGCAUGCAGGAGCAACCAAGAGAGCCACUUAGAUACCAUUUGAUUAUAAUGUGUUUCUCAGAGAAAUAAAUAGCCCAAAUGGAAGCACACGAUUGGGAAACCCAGGUAACAGUGCAUAGAUGAAUUGCCUAAGGUUCUGCUUCUAGUUGGUGUCCUGCGAAUCAGUUCAGCCCAGAGAACUCAUCACUACCAGGCCCAG